UUUAACUCUGACAGAUAGAAUAGAACUGUCAACUGAAUCUCAUAUAUGCAAUUCAUUCAUCUGGUCAUCAACAAAAGAUUCUCAAGGCACAAAGAUUUCAGUGAAAUAUUAAAUCGGGGAGAUCAUGAAGUUCUUGGCUUUAGUUUUCUUGCUUACCGUCUAUUACGUACAAUGUCGAACAACAAACACACGAAAUCUUUAUGUUGCAAGUAACAAUAGUCAAACAGAAAAUAUAUCAAUUGAUACUGAUCCACAAAAUAAAGUCAAAACUGAGCAAAUAAAUGCAGAGCUUGCAGAUUCCAUGAGUACGCUAGGACCAGGCAAGAAGCAAAUGGUUAACUCUGAAGACCAAAAGGACAAAGAGUUUUACGUUCAACCUUAUACUUUUCAAGAUAUAUUAUCGGGUCAAGCUGAUAUUUGGUACUCAUCUAUUAACUCGAUGACAAUGCAAAGUUCUGACGAUGCCAUUAAGAUGCUUUAAUGGUAGAAAGUUGCAACAGGAUCUAUCGCACGAAGUUCUGUCGGUCGUAAGAUGCGCUCGGCAAUAUAAGACACAUGGUCUAAGAAAUUUUUGUACUUUAUUGUUUGAUUUAAAGCAGGAAAUACAAAAAAGUGAUUGCUCAAUCUAUAUUUUAUACCUUUAAACGAGCAAUUCUUGUAUAUAAUCUGAAUCUCAGAAACGGCUCCAAUGAUUUUAAUGAAAUUUUGUAUACAGGUAGUUUCCGGGGCGAAAAAUCGAGCUAACUAGGUUUCAAUUAAAAAAAUGUAGUUUUAUCCGUGUUUUAAUGAGAAACACCUACAAUAACGUUAUAAUACAAAGGUAAAUUUCGCCACUAUAAACAAGACUAAUAGCUCAGGUGGGACACUGGGUGAUCCGGAAAGCAGAAGACCCCGGUUCGAAUCCAGAUGUCGUGUUAGUUUUUUUUUUCAAGUUUCGUACAUUCUUUAAAAUCCGAGCAAGGCUCGGUCGUCCAGAUAUUAAUACAUAUAAGAGAUUUCCACCUAUGUAUUGAUUCAUCACGAUAUAUCUGGGUUCUGGAACCAUAAGGCGUAGAGACUUGAAUUUGGUAGCAAUAUUCCUUUCGCCGCGUAGAAAUCAGGUAAGAACGAAUUUUACCAAAUUCCAUUAGCAAGAGUUUUAUUUUUAUAACAGAACAACGUCUGUCUGGACUGCUAGUUUUACAUAAAGAUGAUUACUGGUUUCUAUAACUUUACUUAUGUUCUGUUUAUCUCGUAUAAUUCUAUGGUUCAAAGCGUGGAUUUGUCAUCUAUCCUUUCAAGUCUACAAAGCCUCUUUUAUAUUUCUGUACUUGUCUAUAGAUGAUUACCGACUAACGGCCGUUUUCAAUAACUAAUGUCCAAUAUAGUUAUAGUCCAAUGCUGUAUGUCGAUAGGUUAUUGAAAUGUAAGUAAGCAAGCGUAAAUGGAUAUAUUUGUCGACCUCUAGUAAGUUGAAUUAAGGAUAGAUAGGUUAUUGAAAACGGCCGUAAGUUAGGACAGUUUUUAUUUAGGCUUGCUGUUUUGUGUGUACGAGUAUGUUUAGUUUACAUUAUAUUGUAUGAUGUUUAA